ACUCACCCUCAGACUGCAUUCCGAUUGGCUGAGGACAUUCUGGGCGGUCUGCAGCUGACAUUUAAAUGGCAAGGCGGCUCUGGGCUCCUUAGCUGCUGCUGGCUGCUAGUCCAUUGACUCCGGGAAGGCAGACAGGCAUCUCCAUAGAGGGACCACAGCUCGACGAAGAGUACUGUUCGAAUCCUCAUGGUCUGGACACGCUUGUUUGACAUACCGUCUUUUGGUACAGGGUGCUUGUGAAUCUUAUGCGACAUGCGAAUUGGCCGAGAGAGCUACAUCCUUGUGUCAAGGUUAUGGUCAAGAGGAGAGCGCUUGUAUGGUGUGCGUGGGAAGAAACUGAUUCUAUCCUACUCCUGGUCGAUCGGCAACCCAACACAGUGGAAGAUCGUGCUUUCAGUGGCUUCCUUGUAUUCGUGGCGGUCCAGAUCUCACCACAGGAAGAAAAGGGCAUAGAGAUGGGCUGUGUCCUCCAGAUCACUGCCCCACCGGGUGACGAGGGGGCCAUGUCUCCCACCAUUGCCAGGUCUAUGCCACUGGUCACCGGGCCCUCACCAAAGCAGUUCCAGUUUCCUCGACUCCUAUGGCGUAGACGACAACCUCCUCGCCAAAACACCACCCAUCCUAGCAAAGGCUCAGCGUGUCGCUCUCAAAGCAAGACCUUCCUAGUAGGGGAACAUAGUUAAUCACAGAUGGAGUCACGUAGAGUACAAAUACUCCUGGCUUAAUGACCUACCUCUUUAGCGACCGCUCGCACUUACAACCAUCUCUUCACUGUAACUACUUUACUAACUUUAUGUUCUGUAAUACCUUGCACUACUGUGUGUAAAUCCCACAACCUAUGCCAAUUAAAACAAGUGGAAGUUUUCAGUUGGA